GACGAACUGUGCAAACGUUAUUCGGAAUCACUGGGCUUGAAGAGUGCGUAGGCGGUUUUGUAAGUAGGGUGUGAAAGCCCCCGGCUCAACCGGGGAAUUGCGCCCUAAACUGCAAGGCUUGAGUGAGGUAGGGGUGUGUGGAACUUCCAGUGGAGCGGUGAAAUGUGUUGAUAUUGGAAGGAACGCCGGUGGCGAAAGCGACACACUGGAUCUUGUCUGACGCUGAGGCACGAAAGCCAGGGGAGCAAACGGG
rnacentral:rRNA from 1 species